rnacentral:lncRNA from 1 species
GCUUCUUCCCGGAGUGGAGGCUUAGAGGCAGGCUCUGUGGCAUGCACUCCCCGACUCUACAUGGUGCAUUUUGACUGAAGUGAAUACCCUGAGAAGGUUUUGCAGAAAAAUCAAGGAGAUAAAUGAAAGGUUUCCCUCAGUGGUGAAUGUGCAGAGGCUCCCUAAAAUGCAGCUCCUGGGGACUGAUGCACACAGCUGUGGAAAUGAUAGUAAGGCUCUUUGUUAGAGCUCUUGUGGCUGCCUGGAGAUGAUGCUGCCUUGGCCAUGGCCUGCUGUUAUCCUCGGGGAGCUGGGACGUGGGCACAGGGGCAUGCAUUUCCCCCUCAGCACUAGCUCCAAGGGACAAUGUGCAGCACUUGCUGAGGGCAGAAGAAAAUGGAAAACAAAGACAAACAAACCAAAGAAGGCGGAUGAAGUAGAAGCCAUUCAUUCUUUCCAUGAACAUUGACCCUAUAUCCUGAAGGUGGAUCCAAUGAAAAAAGAGAAGCAGCAAGAGUGGCUUCUGUUUCCCUGGCUGGACUCUGAGUAAUAUAGCAGCAAUAAUUUCCCAAGGGAAAGGAGGAAGACGGGUUGGCUCCAAUGAAGACACUUAUGAUGUGAAGAGUUCCCGUAACAGUUCACCAUCUCUGGGGCAGUUAUACAACAGGGAUCCCUGACUUCUUCAGAACCGAGAGUUCAAAUCAGGACUAUCUGGUGAUGAAUCUAUCCACUAGAAGCUGAUAUGAAGAGUCAGGUCACUAGAAAACAGAAUAUCAUGUGAUUGUGUUUGACUGCACAACUGGUCUCUAUCAAUAUCUAUGCCUGAAGAGGAAGAAUGUUUGCCUAGUAAGGUAAAAUAUUUGGUUAUCUACCUCUGUUUGCCUGACUUAUCCCUGCUGGUAUUAGUAACCACUAUAGAGGAAGAACAAAUAGACAAUUACAAGAAUGUGUGUCAAGAUCUUGGACACAAAAUUAUUUCAUAUUGUUUACAUGUAAUACUAAUCUAAAGCUUGCUAAGACUCAAGUAAAAUGUUAGGGUCAGAAAAGACAACAUAACUAGAAGCCCUCUUGUUAUGUUGAAUAGGAAAGAAAAAAAGUCCACUGGGUAUGAAUCACAUAAGUUGCCUCUGUGGCAGGUGCCUGCAGCAAUUACUUUCCAAUGGGUGCUUAAUAAAAACAGAAGAUGGAAAACUCAAUACGUAAGGUCAAUACUGAUAACAGUUCAUUAGCACAAGUUGAGGACAAGCGAAGGAUGAAUGUGCCUUGUCCUCCAAGCAGCUGAAGUGCACUUCCCCAGGCUUCUGUCUUCUCUUCUGAGUCACUGAGUCUCUGUGCUCUUUGACACCCUAUAACUGGAGGAUUAUGAUUACUUAGUAGGCUUCUGUGCUUAACUUGAUAAAACAAUAAAAAGUCACACAGAGAAAUCUUAAAAACUCGAGGUAGCUUGUAAAGCCACAACUCCACUGUUAUUUCAUACCACCUUCCUCUCUAUCUCACUUCUCCACAUUGAAAUAUGCCCCUUUCCUUGAGAUAUGAAUCACUAAAGUACAAAAACUAGUUUUAAAGUAUGCACAGUUGACCAGGCACAGUGGCUUACACUUAUAAUGCCAGCACUUUGGAAGGCUGAGGCAGGAGCAUCACUUGAGGCCAGGAGUUUGAGAGCAGCCUGGGCAAUAGAGCCAGACCCUCUUUCUACCAAAAAUAAUAAUAAUAAAAAACAGCUGGGCAUGGCGGUGCAAGUCUGUAAUCUCAGCUACUCAGGGGGCUGAGGCAGAAGGAUGAGUUGGGCCCAGAAGUUUGAGGCUGCAGUGAGCAAUGAUUGUACCACUGUACUUCAGCCUGGGUGACAGAGCAAGAGCCUGUCUGUUAAUAAAUGAAAAAUAUAAAAUAAAAUAAAAUAUUGAUAGUAGUAUUUAGUGGGAAAACAUUAAUUUGAGUCUACUCAUAAUUUUGAAUUUUGAGAUCUGGAUUCAUUUAAUAAAAAUCAUGUUGAGUACAUUUUCCAAACUAUUUGAA